rnacentral:rRNA from 1 species
UACGUAGGGUGCAAGCGUUAAUCGGAAUUACUGGGCGUAAAGCGUGCGCAGGCGGUUGGUUAAGUCUGAUGUGAAAGCCCCGGGCUCAACCUGGGAAUGGCAUUGGAAACUGGUCAGCUGGAGUGUGGCAGAGGGGAGUGGAAUUCCGCGUGUAGCAGUGAAAUGCGUAGAGAUGCGGAGGAACACCGAUGGCGAAGGCAGCCCCCCUGGGCCAACACUGACGCUCAUGCACGAAAGCGUGGGGAGCAAACAGG